rnacentral:piRNA from 1 species
UGAAAUGCAAGUGCUUCGGCCCCUGGG